GGGAAGGCAGGGGGAGGACAGGAGGGAAGUGAUGGAGGAGGCAGGGAAGCCGAGGGGAGAGGAGACGAGAGGUGCGGAGGCGCUGGCCUUUUUCUUGGUGCCCAACGCCCCUGCAGUGUAGCUCGGCCGUCUGGGAAGCCGCCAAGUUCGCGCCAGCCAGGCUCGCUCUGGGCGCGCCCAGCACUUGCCUGCGACGUGGAAAACCUAGAGAGCCCUAAAUCUCAGGGCUAAUCUCUGGGUACUUUGAGGAAAGCGUCAGGGGGCCUCGAGUCCCGCGGAGUUUUUGCGGAUGCGCCAGGCCGCGUGGGGAUGUGCCGCAGGGAAGAAGCAGUCUUGGAAACUCUCCCGCCCUGUUGGCAGCUGUCGAUGCCUGUGUUCUUUCUAGUAAGUGUGGCGGUUUCCUUUCCCUCAAGUCAUUCUAUCAAAGUCUUGGAAGCAAACUAAAAAAAAAAACUAGUCUGAAUUAGAAAGUUAAGUGAAGACGGCCUUAUGGGUUUGCGCUGCUCAGGUUUAUUCGUAGCUUCUUUUGGGUCCUUCUUCUCUCUCGCUCCCACCUUGAGGCAGAAACAUAGAUGAGGGACUUGCCGGAUGUCUCUUAUUUUCUACACUAGUUUGAACCUUUCCGCCGGAACUAUGUAUAUUACUUUCUCAUAGGUUUGUGAAUUAACAAACAGGAUUAUUGCAGUUAAUAAGAAGAGCUAAUAUGUAGUACUCGGGGCAGGCACUAUUUUGUUUACAAACCUGUGAUUAUUUAAUUCAUCAACUGUGUGAAGUCGGGGCUAUUGUCCCAUUAUCCAACUUACUUCAUUCCUUAGAGAUGAGGAAAUUGAGGCAUGGUCAAGUUAGAUAACAAGGCCUCUUCUAGCCUGUAAGUGGAAGAGAUGGAAUUUGAACGCAAACUGUCGGAGGUAAAUGCCAUGCUGUGGUCACAAUGUUAUAGAAAUUACCCACUAGCGAGCAUAGUUGUAUUGAAAUAUUAAACUUAUAAUUAGGUGGAAUUUUUUUUUUCCUUUUACUUAUUUAGGCUUCCUGAAGUUUAUUUUGGCGAAAUGUCCAAAUUUAGUGUGGACAGAGCAGGACUCACAAUUUAAAAAGGAAACUCUCAAUAAGAAACCAUGCAUUCCAAGGCAGUGUUACAUUUUUCUUACAUGCAAGGUUAUGGAAAUGUUUGACCUGGGAAGUUAUUUUCCUUAGGAGAAACGUUUGUCUUGGUAUACCGUGAUCCCCGAGAACAUGGCGAGCCCUCCAGGAGAAACUCUUCAGUCAUCAGUGUUUGAAAACUAAAUAUUGAUUCAAAUGUACUCAAGAAGUGAGCAUCCUUGACAUGGUCGAUGACAUGAUGUCAAAUGAAAAGGAAAUUUCCCCAAAGAAACAUAAGUAUUGGGUGGAGUCAGGGAAGAUACUCAGGGAGUUCCCUUCGUGGCUCAGUGGUUAAGGAACCCCACUAGGAUCCAUGAGGAUUCCAGUUUGAUCCCUUGCCUUGCUCAGUGGGCUAAGGAUCUUGCGUUGCUUUGAGCUGUGGUGUAGGUGGAAGACGCUGCUUGGAUCCCGUGCUGCUCUGGCUGUGGUUGUAGGCUGGCAGGUGUAGCUCCACUUCAGCCACUAGCCUGGGAAUUUCCAUAUGCCUCGGGUGCCUGGGAACUUCCAUGUGCUGUGCUUGUGGCCCUAGAAAGCAAAAAUAAGAAAAGGGAAGAUAUUCGUUUUUUUUUUUUUUUUUUUUUCCCUCCAUUUUCUUUCUGGAGUCUUCUUCCCUGUCCUUGAACACUUCUGUGACCUCCAAGACUGGGUUAGAAGCCUCUUCUGUGUGCUCCUGUGCACCCAGAAUCUGUGCCUGCAGUGGUACACUGUUUUCUCAUUGCUUGUUCACCUAACUACCUCCUGGGAGAUUCUUAAGUUUCACGAAGGGCAGACAUUCUGUCCUUCUCAAUAGUAUGUCUCCAGAACUCAGCACAGUUGUCCUAAAAUUGGAGCAAUACUGACUGGUUAAAAUGAUGGUUUUUACUGGUCAGCCUUGUCUUGUUAGGAUGUACUGAGUUGGGAUUUAACAGAAACUGUGAGACCAAUGUAUCCAUCAGAAGCAUAGUCUCUAAACAGACCUCCCAGUUUCCUCCUUUCUUACAUUUCCUUGAAUUCCACCUACAUACUUUAUCUUAUCUAUCUCUCUGUCUCUCUCUAUGUUAUCUGUGUGUAUACCAUCUAUCUCCCUCUAUCUCUCUAUCUCUCUAUCCAACUGUCUGUCUGUCUAUCUGUCUUUACCACUGGAUAUAAACCACACAGUCAGGGAUAUAUAUUUUGUUUCAGUUUGGGUAUAUAUCCCAUUGUCCCACUUUUUGCACCCAUUUGGCACAUAAUAGUUUUUUUGAUAUUAAAUAAGAACAAAAACAACCUCUGAAAAUUUUAACUUUAUUUUGGCACCCAAUUAAUAAAUAACUGCAGCCUUAAUCCUAACCUCACUGUUUGGGGUCUGUAAGAUGAUAGAAUCAUACGAUUUUUUUUUUUUUCCCUGAAGGGGACCUGAUAAUUAUGUAAGCCAGCUGGUAGACACAGGCUAUUUCAAUUUAAACUGACUAAAAUAAAAUUAAAAAUUAAGUUACUCAGCUUUUGCCUCCUUUUGGGUGCUCAGUAGCCACAUGUGACUAGUGGCUACUCUGUUGGGCAGCCUUGAUACAGAGAUUUCCAUUAUUGCGGAAAGUUCUACUGGGCAGAGCUGACAAGUUACAAAAAAUAGGUUAAAGGGCAUAGUUUCAUUAGCUUAAAUAUAUCACUGCUACUAAAAAAUAUUUCAGAUGGCAUAGCAGUUCUUUUACAUACAAAGAGCAUCACAUUCUUAUUUCAGAUGUCUGCUAUUUCACAUAGAUAAACAUUUUUUUUUCCUUAACGGUUGUGGUUAAAUUAAUGCACAUUUAAACAUAUGCAGAAGAGCCUGUGGUUCAAAAGGAUUCCUCUUUGUAGUCCCUUAAGGUGAAUAUUCACCCCAAUCAAUCCUUUGUGAGUCUUCACUUUUUUCUGGUUAAAAAUCCUCUGAUCAACUUGAGUCACUGCACAAGUUUGACAUUCAUUCGCUUCGGCUGUGCAUUUUAAGCUCGCAUGAUUGAGGAGCUAAAAUACUCAGUAAUGUUGGUAAAGGCCAAAUGCCAGAUAGUUUUGGACUGACCAAAUAUAUAUUUAAUGACAUCACACAUGCCCUAAGACAGUUUUCAAUUUACAAACACUCUAUUCAGAAGCAGCCCAGAUAGAAAACAUACUGGCGUACUUUCUUUAAACUCUUCCUUAGGACAGUAUUGCCAAGGUGCCCAUUGUACAAAAAUUAGUCAAUAAAAAAAUAAAAUAAAUACUGCAAUUCUAAGACAAUGGAUAGUGUAAGUUGUGGGGGCAACAAAGAAGCCGGAGUGAAACCUUGGGGAAUUAGUAGAGGUUAUUUCCGCAGUAGAGCAGAUUUGCUUAAGUGGUAACCCCCUGACAAAAAUAGUCUAGAGCCACCUUUCUCCCUCUGGCCCCGCCCCUCCUUGCCCUGCCUCUCUCCCACUCCCCUGUUCUUACAAUUCUUUUUUUCUUUUUUUGCGUUUUAGGGCUGCGCAGGCAACAUAUGGUAGUUC
rnacentral:lncRNA from 1 species